rnacentral:rRNA from 1 species
AUUGAACGCUGGCGGAAUGCUUUACACAUGCAAGUCGAACGGCAGCACGGGGGCAACCCUGGUGGCGAGUGGCGAACGGGUGAGUAAUACAUCGGAACGUGCCCGGUCGUGGGGGAUAACGUAGCGAAAGUUACGCUAAUACCGCAUACGAUCUGAGGAUGAAAGCGGGGGACCUUCGGGCCUCGCGCGCUCGGAGCGGCCGAUGUCAGAUUAGGUAGUUGGUGGGGUAAAGGACUACCAAGCCGACGAUCUGUAGCUGGUCUGAGAGGACGACCAGCCACACUGGGACUGAGACACGGCCCAGACUCCUACGGGAGGCAGCAGUGGGGAAUUUUGGACAAUGGGCGCAAGCCUGAUCCAGCCAUACCGCGUGGAGGACGAAGGCCUUCGGGUUGUAAACUGCUUUUGUAUGGAACGAAAAGGCUCUGGCUAAUACCUGGGGCUCAUGACGGUACCGUAAGAAUAAGCACCGGCUAACUACGUG